UACAGAGGGGGCAAGCGUUGUUCGGAAUUACUGGGCGUAAAGAGCGCGCAGGCGGCUGGUCAAGUCCGAUGUGAAAUCUCCCGGCUCAACUGGGAAACUGCAUCGGAAACUGAUCGGCUUGAAGAUGGGAGAGGGUAGUGGAAUUCCCGGUGUAGUGGUGAAAUGCGUAGAUAUCGGGAGGAACACCAGUGGCGAAGGCGACUACCUGGCCCAUUCUUGACGCUGAGGCGCGAAAGCUAGGGGAGCGAACGGG
rnacentral:rRNA from 1 species